UUGGACUUCCCGGCCUCCAAAACUGAGUGGAACUGGUGGCUUUAUAAGAAAAGGAAGAGAGACCUGAGUGAGCAUGCUCAGCCCCCUCGACAUGUGAUGUCCUUUGCCACCUCAGUACUCUGCAGAAUCCCCGCCGGCAAGAAGUCCCUGACCAGAUGCAGCCCCUCAACCUUGGACGUUUCAGCCUCCACAACUGUACUUCUGUCAAGUCCAAAUCAAGCAGAAUGGGUUCCAACCAGCAGCAGGGUUUUCACUUGUAAGCAAACCACAGAAGGGAUCAGCCACCAACCCAACAGAUGAACAACUUGACUUGCUUUCCAAUGGAGCCCAGCAUUUGAAGCUGUGAUAAUUGUCAGUUUAAAUGUUAGCUGUCUAUGUCCUCCAACAGCUCAGAGACUCAGAGUUGAUGCGCUGGAUUCUACUGCAAGUUGCGUCUUGAUAAACAUAGUUACUAUGUGAGCCAGCAAAUUCCAUUUCUAGAUAUAUACCCAAGAGAAAUAAAAACUCAUGUUCACAGGAA
ensembl:lncRNA LINC02927 long intergenic non-protein coding RNA 2927